rnacentral:tRNA from 1 species
GCGGGUGUCGUUCAAAGGCAGGACCUCAGCCCUCCAAGCUGAUGAUGCCGGUUCGAAUCCGGUCACCCGCU